rnacentral:rRNA from 1 species
GACGAACGCUGGCGGCGUGCCUAAUACAUGCAAGUCGAACGCAGUGGGGACGGGUGAGUAACACCUGGGUAACCUCCCAUCAGAGGGGAUAACACUUGGAAACAGGUGCUAACCCGCUACUGAUGGAUGGACCCGCGGUGCAUUAGCUAGUUGGUGGGGUAACGGCUCACCAAGGCGACGAUGCAUACCCGGACUGAGAGGGUGAUAGGCGAAACGGGGACUGAGACACGGCCCAGACGCAUACGGGAGGCAGAAGUAGGGAAUCUUGGGCAAUGGACGAAAGUCUGACCGAGCAACGCCGCGUGAGUGAAGAAGGUUUUCGGAUCGUAAAACACUGUUGUUAGAGAAGCGGUAUCUAACCAGAAAGCCACGGCUAACUACGUGCCAGCAGCCGCGGUAAUAC